rnacentral:rRNA from 1 species
CAUUAUUGAAAUAAACCUGAUAAGUUGCUGCUGGCUCUCUAGGGAGCAUGUGCACACUUUGUCAUCUUUAUAUAUCUUCACAUGUGCACCUCUUGUAGACUUUGGAUAUCUUUCUGAAUGUAAUUCAGGUUUUGAGGAUUGACUUUUUGGUCUCUCCUUACAUUUCCAAAUCUAUGUUCCUUCAUAUACACUUAUGUUAUAGAACGUAAUAAAAUAGGCCUUUUUGUGCCUUACAAAAACCUAUACAACUUUCAGCAACGGAUCUCUUGGCUCUCGCAUCGAUGAAGAACGCAGCGAAAUGCGAUAAGUAAUGUGAAUUGCAGAAUUCAGUGAAUCAUCGAAUCUUUGAACGCACCUUGCACUCCUUGGUAUUCCGAGGAGUAUGCCUGUUUGAGUGUCAUUAAUGUAUCAACCUCUUCAAGCUUUUGCUUGUCGAGUGUUUGGAUUUGGGGUUGUGCUGGUCUUAUUUUCUGAAGGUCAGCUCCCCUGAAAUGUAUUAGCAGAACAAUUUGUUGACCGUUCAUUAAUGUGAUAACUAUCUACAUUAUUGAUGUGUGAGGCAGAAGUUCAGCUUCUUAACAGCCCAUUGACUUGGACAAAUUUUCAUUAAUGUGACCU